rnacentral:rRNA from 1 species
GACGAACGCUGGCGGCGCGCCUAACACAUGCAAGUCGAACGAGCGAGCGAGAGCUUGCCUUCUCGAGCGAGUGGCGAACGGGUGAGUAACGCGUGAGGAACCUGCCUCAAAGAGGGGGACAACAGUUGGAAACGACUGCUAAUACCGCAUAAGCCCACGGUGCCGCAUGGCACAGAGGGAAAAGGAGCAAUCCGCUUUGAGAUGGCCUCGCGUCCGAUUAGCUAGUUGGUGAGGUAAUGGCCCACCAAGGCGACGAUCGGUAGCCGGACUGAGAGGUUGAACGGCCACAUUGGGACUGAGACACGGCCCAGACUCCUACGGGAGGCAGCAGUGGGGAAUAUUGCACAAUGGGGGAAACCCUGAUGCAGCGACGCCGCGUGGAGGAAGAAGGUCUUCGGAUUGUAAACUCCUGUUGUUGGGGAAGAUAAUGACGGUACCCAACAAGGAAGUGACGGCUAACUACGUG